rnacentral:rRNA from 1 species
GAUGAACGCUGGCGGCGUGCCUAAUACAUGCCAGUCGAGCGAACAGACGAGGAGCUUGCUCCUCUGACGUUAGCGGCGGACGGGUGAGUAACACGUGGAUAACCUACCUAUAAGACUGGGAUAACCUCGGGAAACCGGAGCUAAUACCGGAUAAUAUAUUGAACCGCAUGGUUCAAUAGUGAAAGACGGUUUUGCUGUCACUUAUAGAUGGAUCCGCGCCGCAUUAGCUAGUUGGUAAGGUAACGGCUUACCAAGGCAACGAUGCGUAGCCGACCUGAGAGGGUGAUCGGCCACACUGGAACUGAGACACGGUCCAGACUCCUACGGGAGGCAGCAGUAGGGAAUCUUCCGCAAUGGGCGAAAGCCUGACGGAGCAACGCCGCGUGAGUGAUGAAGGUCUUCGGAUCGUAAAACUCUGUUAUUAGGGAAGAACAAAUGUGUAAGUAACUAUGCACGUCUUGACGGUACCUAAUCAGAAAGCCACGGCUAACUACGUG